GCUCCUGACCUGAGUUCCAGUCC
rnacentral:misc_RNA from 1 species